GACGAACGCUGGCGGCGUGCUUAACACAUGCAAGUCGAACGGAAAGGCCCUGCUCUUGUGGGGUGCUCGAGUGGCGAACGGGUGAGUAACACGUGAGUAACCUGCCCUUGACUUUGGGAUAACUUCAGGAAACUGGGGCUAAUACCGGAUAGGAGCUCCUGCUGCAUGGUGGGGGUUGGAAAGUUUCGGCGGUUGGGGAUGGACUCGCGGCUUAUCAGCUUGUUGGUGGGGUAGGGGCUUACCAAGGCUUUGACGGGUAGCCGGCCUGAGAGGGUGACCGGGCACAAUGGGCCUGAGGGACGGCCCAGAAUCGUACGGGCGGCAGCAGUGGGGAGUAUUGCACAAUGGGCGGAAGCCUGAUGCAGCGACGCCGCGUGCGGGAUGCCGGCUUUCGGGUUGUAAACCGCUUUCGACUGUGACGAAGCGUGAGUGACGGUACUGGGUAAAGAAGCACCGGCUAACUACGUG
rnacentral:rRNA from 1 species